rnacentral:rRNA from 1 species
CCUUUGUUGCCAGCGGUCCGGCCGGGGAAACUCAAAGGAGACUGCCAGUGAUAAACUGGAGGAAGUGGGGAUGACGUCAAGUCAUCAUGGCCCUUACGACCAGGGCUACACACGUGCUACAAUGGCGCAUACAAAGAGAAGCGACCUCGCGAGAGCAAGCGGACCUCAUAAAGUGCGUCGUAGUCCGGAUUGGAGUCUGCAACUCGACUCCAUGAAGUCGGAAUCGCUAGUAAUCGUGGGUCAGAAUGCCACGGUGAAUACGUUCCCGGGCCUU